rnacentral:rRNA from 1 species
GAUGGACGCUGGCGGCGUGCUUAACACAUGCAAGUCGAACGGAAAGGCCCAAGCUUGCUUGGGUGCUCGAGUGGCGAACGGGUGAGUAACACGUGGGUGAUCUGCCCUGCACUUUGGGAUAAGCCUGGGAAACUGGGUCUAAUACCGGAUAGGACCAUCGUUUAGUGUCGGUGGUGGAAAGUUUUUCGGUGUGGGAUGAGCUCGCGGCCUAUCAGCUUGUUGGUGGGGUAAUGGCCUACCAAGGCGUCGACGGGUAGCCGGCCUGAGAGGGUGUACGGCCACAUUGGGGAUGGGGUAAGGCCCAGACUCCUACGGGGGGCAGCAGGGGGGGAUUAUGCACAAUGGGCGCAAGGCUGGUGGAGGGGAGGCGGGGGGGGGGAGGCCGGCUUCGGGUUGUAAACUCCUUUCGCCAAGGACGAAGCGUUUUGUGACGGUACUUGGAGAAGAAGCACCGGCUAACUACGUG